AUUAAUUUAGUAUCAUGUUAUUUUAUUUUUCUUUUUUCGUUAGCUCACCCAUUAACAUUUCGUUAAAUUAUAUACAAAAAAUUUAAGAUACCUCACCUAGAUUUAUCGAAUAUUCACUUUAAUAUCUUUUACUUUUAACUUUAUCACUUAUUUAACCAAAAAGAAUCUGACGAAAAAUAUAAAAUAAAAUCAUAGAGUACUAAAUUAAUAUAUUUUUAAAUCGUAAGGUAAUAAAAUAAAAAAUACAAAAUUUUAAAAAUAAUAUUUGAAGUUUACUUUUUUUUUGUUCUA
rnacentral:lncRNA from 1 species